rnacentral:rRNA from 1 species
CCUUCAAUGUGUAUGCCUUCCCUGCUUCAACCUUAUCAGCUACUGAUUUUUGAUUUUUUGUCAGUUUACUCAUUUUUCUAAUUGAAGUUUUAAAUUAUUUACCAGGGAAGUCCCCUUUUACAGUAAUACCCAUACUUCUUGCAGUACCAGCGAUGAGCUUCAUAGCUGAUUCUACAGUAAAGCAGUUCAAGUCCUUCAUCUUAUCCUCAGCGAUUACCUUUACCUGAUCCCAAGUAAGAGAAGCAACCUUCUGACGAUUAGGCUGAGCAGAACCUGACUUGAUUUUGGCAGCCUCUUUCAAUUGAACUGCAGCAGGUGGAGUUUUGAUAAUAAAAUCAACAGACUUGUCAGUAUGAUAAGUAAUAACUACUGGCAACACUUUACCUGCUUUGUCCUGGGUACGGGCGUUGAAUUCCUUGCAGAAUCCCAUAAUAUUAAUACCCUUAAUCCGGUAAGGCUAAAUACUCCCGUGAGACCGAUAGCGAACGAGUACUGUGAAGGAAAGGUGAAAAGAACCCCGAGCAGGGGAGUGAAAUAGUUCCUGAAACCAUACGCCUACAAGCGGUCGGAGCACAGCAAUGUGUGACGGCGUGCCUUUUGCAUAAUGAUCCUACGAGUUACCGUCACUGGCGAGGUUGAGUGUCAUGAGACACGUAGCCGCAGUGAAAGCGAGCCUGAAUAGGGCGCACAGUCAGUGGGGGUAGACGCGAAACCAAGUGAUCUACACUUGGCCAGGAUGAAGUCCCGGUAACACGGGAUGGAGGUCCGCACCAAUAAGCGUUGAAAAGCUUCUGGAUGAGCCGAGUGUAGGAGUGAAAGGCCAAUCAAACUUGGAGAUAGCUCGUACUCCCCGAAAGGCAUUUAGGUGCCGCGUCGGAUGGUCACCGUGAGAGGUAGAGCGACCGAUAGGACAAGAGGGCUUCACCGCCUAUCGAGUCCUGACGAACUCCGAAUGCUCACGGUCUGCAGUCCGGCAGUAAGGGGGCGGGUGCUAAGGUCCGUCCCCGAGAGGAGAAGAAUCCAGACCGCCGUCUAAGGUCCCGGAGUUCUGCCUGAGUUAGUCUAACGAAGUCUGGUCCCUAUGACAGCUAGGAUGUUGGCUUGGAAGCAGCCAUUCAUUCAAAGAGUGCGUAACAGCUCACUAGUCGAGGGUCCGGGCAUGGAUAAUAAUCGGGUAUAAGGCAGACACCGAAGGCGCGGGAUAGCAUUUAAGAAAGUAUCGGUAGGGGAGCAUACUCACAGCGUCGAAUGGUGUACGUAAGUUAUCCUGGAGCGGUGAGUAAAGCAAAUGUAGGAAUAAGUAACGAUAAGGAGGGUUAGAUUCCCUCCCGCUGUAAGACCAAGGUUUCCCGGGCAAUGCCAAUCAGCCCGGGGUCAGUCGGGUCCUAAGUCUAAGCCGAACGGCGAUGGCGAUGGCAGAGACGGUUAAUAUUCCGUCACUGCCGCAUGGGGCGACGUGGAGACGGAGCAGUGAAACCACCGCGGGGCGACGGAAGUCCCCGUUGAAGAGUGUAGGCGUUGAGGAUGGCAGGCAAAUCCACCAUCCGAGCUGAACUUGACAGUACGGAGUCCUCCUCGGAGGAAUCUGAUAGUGUGGGUAAUCAUACUCCCGAGAAAAUCCGCUAAGCUUAACCCAUGCGGCACCCGUACCGCAAACGGACACACGUGGUCGGGUAGAACAUACUAAGGCGUUGAGAGAUUCAUGGUUAAGGAACUAGGCAAAUUGACCCUGUAACUUCGGGAUAAAGGGUCCUCGUGAUGAGCGAGGCGCAGAGAAUAGGUCCAGGCAACUGUUUAACAAAAACACAGGGCUGUGCAAACUCGAAAGAUGACGUAUACAGCCUGACACCUGCCCGGUGCCGGAAGGUUAAGAGGAGAUGUCACUCGCAAGAGGAAGCAUUGAAUUGAAGCCCCGGUAAACGGCGGCCGUAACUAUAACGGUCCUAAGGUAGCGAAAUUCCUUGUCGGGUAAGUUC